GGGGGCGUGCCGGAACGGUAGACGGACUCGGCUCAAAAUCGAGCGGCCGCAAGGCCAUGGGGGUUCGAGUCCCCCCGCCCCUACCA
rnacentral:tRNA from 1 species